rnacentral:rRNA from 1 species
CGUUGGCGGCGUGGAUUAGGCAUGCAAGUCGAACGGGCCCGCCGCAAGGCGGGUCAGUGGCGCAAGGGUGAGUAAGGCGACGGUAACCAACCCCACGGUUGGGUAUAGCCGCGGGAAACUGCGGGUAAUCCCCAGCGACGUGACGACGCCGGCAUCGGCGUUUCACCAAAGGCUUCGGCCGCCUUGGGACGGGCCGUCGUGGUAUUAGGUAGUUGGCGGGGUUACGGCCCACCAAGCCUGUGAUGCCUACCGGGCGUGCGAGCGUGGCCCGGCACACUGGGACUGAGACACUGCCCAGACUCUUACGGGAGGCUGCAGUCGAGAAUCUUCGGCAAUGGGCGCAAGCCUGACCGAGCGACGCCGCGUGGAGGAUGAAGGCCUUCGGGUUGUAAACUCCUGUCGAGGGGGAGGAAGGGGCAACCUUGACCGAUCCCUGGAGGAAGCACGGGCUAAGUUCGUGCCAGCAGCCGCGGUAAGACGAACCGUGCGAACGUUAUUCGGAAUCACUGGGCUUAAAGCGCGUGUAGGCGGAUGGGAACGUCGGCUUCUGAAAGCCCCCGGCUCAACCGGGGAAGUGGGGCCGAAACGACCCGUCUCGAGGGACGUAGGGGGAUCUGGAACUUCCGGUGGAGCGGUGAAAUGCGUUGAGAUCGGAAGGAACGCCCGUGGCGAAAGCGAGAUCCUGGACGUUUUCUGACGCUGAGACGCGAAAGCUAGGGGAGCAAACGGGAUUAGAUACCCCGGUAGUCCUGGCCGUAAACGAUGAGCACUGGGUAGGGGGCUCGCCGAUGGGCUCUCUGCCGUAGGGAAACCGUGAAGUGCUCCGCCUGGGGAGUAUGGUC